CCCAGACUCCUACGGGAGGCAGCAGUGAGGAAUAUUGGUCAAUGGUCGGGAGACUGAACCAGCCAAGCCGCGUGAGGGAUGAAGGUACAGAGUAUCGUAAACCUCUUUUGUCAGGGAACAAAGGCGGGGACGUGUCCCCGGAUGAGUGUACCUGAAGAAAAAGCAUCGGCUAACUCCGUGCCAGCAGCCGCGGUAAUACGGAGGAUGCGAGCGUUAUCCGGUUUUAUUGGGUUUAAAGGGUGCGCAGGCGGUGUGUUAAGCACGGGGAAAAGGCGGGGGCCCCACCCCGGCCCCGCCGUUGAAACUGGCAGUCUCGAGUUGGAGAGAAGUAUGCGGAAUGCGCGGUGUAGCGGUGAAAUGCAUAGAUAUCGCGCAGAACUCCGAUUGCGAAGGCAGCAUGCCGGCUCCACACUGACGCUGAGGCACGAAAGCGUGGGUAUCGAACAGGAUUAGAUACCCUAGUAGA
rnacentral:rRNA from 1 species